rnacentral:rRNA from 2 species
ACCAACAGGGAUUGUCUUAGUAACGGCGAGUGAAGCGACAAAAGCUCAAAUUUGAAAUCUGGCGCCUUCGGUGUCCGAGUUGUAAUUUGAAGAAGGUAACUUUGGUUUUGGCUCUUGUCUAUGUUCCUUGGAACAGGACGUCACAGAGGGUGAGAAUCCCGUGCGAUGAGAUGCCCAAUUCCAUGUAAAGUGCUUUCGAAGAGUCGAGUUGUUUGGGAAUGCAGCUCUAAGUGGGUGGUAAAUUCCAUCUAAAGCUAAAUAUUGGCGAGAGACCGAUAGCGAACAAGUACAGUGAUGGAAAGAUGAAAAGAACUUUGAAAAGAGAGUGAAAAAGUACGUGAAAUUGUUGAAAGGGAAGGGUUUGAGAUCAGACUUGGUAUUUUGUAUGUUUUACUCUCGGGUGAGGCCUCUGCAGUUUACUGGGCCAGCAUCAGUUUGGAUGGUAGGAUAAUGACAUUGGAAUGUGGCUCUUCGGAGUGUUAUAGCCCUUGUUGAUACUGCCUAUCUAGACUGAGGACUGCGUCUUUGACUAGGAUGCUGGCAUAAUGAUUUUAAACCGCCCGUCUUGA